GCACAAGCAGUGAGUAUGUGGUUUAAUUCGAAGCAACGCGAAGAACCUUACCAGGUCUUGACAUCCCCUGACAACCCGAGAGAUCGGGCGUUCCCCUUCGGGGGACAGGGUGACAGGUGGUGCAUGGUUGUCGUCAGCUCGUGUCGUGAGAUGUUGGGUUAAGUCCCGCAACGAGCGCAACCCCUACGUUUAGUUGCUAACGCGUGAAGGCGAGCACUCUAGACGAACUGCCGUUGACAAAACGGAGGAAGGUGGGGAUGACGUCAAAUCAUCAUGCCCCUUAUGUUCUGGGCUACACACGUGCUACAAUGGCCGGUACAGACGGACGCAAAGCCGCGAGGUGGAGCAAAUCCUAAAAAGCCGGUCUCAGUUCGGAUUGCAGGCUGCAAUUCGCCUGCAUGAAGUCGGAAUCGCUAGUAAUCGCAGGUCAGCAUACUGCGGUGAAUACGUUCCCGGGCCUU
rnacentral:rRNA from 1 species